AUGGACACGGUAGCGAAACACUCGCAUCCCUCUCUCACUCUCGACUCACCCACAUCUCUCCCUCACGCAUUGCCGGUGCUGGCGCCCUCUCCCCGCGCGCGUCGCCGGUGCUCGAUCUGCGGAGCUGCUGCUAAUGGUUUCCUGCCCGGAGCUGCUGCUGCCCGGAUCUGGGAGGAGGUGAUGCCGGCCAAGUACCUGCAGGCAUUGGAGAGGAGAGGCGACCGGAGCUGCACCGGCGUCGACUGCGCGUGCCUCAUCCUCACCGGAAACGUGCCCUUCGGCCUCCCCAUCAGCCGCACCCUCGCCAUCUCCCACGCCAAGCAGCGUCAGAGGAUGAGACGACGACGCCACCAGCGCUUGAAUCACUGCCCACCACUCCCACAAGAGGCUUCUUCCCCCAGGUUGCUAUCUUCUCACCGCACCUGCACCUGCUUUUGCUUGCUGGAGUAUAAAUUGGUUGACAUAAAGUUUAAUCUGGUUAGUUGUUUGAUAUAA
rnacentral:rRNA from 1 species